rnacentral:rRNA from 1 species
CGACGAGUUUGAUCCUGGCUCAGGAUGAACGCUAGCGGCGUGCCUAAGAAAUGCAAGUCGAACGGGGGCUUCGGCCCCAGUGGCGAACGGUCGCGUAACACGUAAGCAACCUGCCCUGAAGUGGGGGACAACAUCCCGAAAGGGGUGCUAAUACCGCAUGUGGUCACGAGUCGGCAUCGACUUGUGUCUAAAGAUUUAUCGAUGUAAGCUGGGCAUGCGUCCAAUUAGCUAGUUGGUGAGGUAACGGCUUACCAUGGCGACGAGUGGGUAGGGGGGCCUGAGAGGGUGGUCCCCCACACUGGUACUGAGACACGGACCAGACUCCGUACGGGGAGGCAGCAGUAGGGAAUAUUGGGCAAUGGACGC